rnacentral:lncRNA from 1 species
AGAGACCCGGACAGGCCUACUGGGCAUAGUCUUAAAGGGCUAGCUCUCCUCUCGCUAUUCCCAGCCUGAAAUGUGUCCCGAAACUGUAGGACUCUGCUUCCUUACCAACAAGAUAGCCACAACUUGCUCCCAAGUUUCUCCUCCAGCUGCAGAGAAUGCGGUUCCUUAGAACGUGGGUUGUGUGGGUGGCUUGGAACCCUAGUGUGAACUCUGUUCUGUGCCUGAUCUGGAAGCUUCCUAGGGCCCGGGCUGCUGGAGGAUGGACUCACCCACCCACCCCCACACCUCUGCUUCUUUCACCAUCCCUGCCCCGACCUGGGACCUGAUUCCAGACCUCCCGCCAACAUAGACACAAGCAUUCGCGCCUCAAGUUUAUUGAGUGCCUGUUGCAUGCGCGACUCAAAUACUGAAAAUCUAUGACAUGUGGCAGCUCCGAGACGCAGAGGACGAGGAAGGACUGUGGCCACUCACGCGGGUUCUCCAGCCACUCACCAACUCGCUAAGACUUUUCCAACUAAGUUCGACGCCUAGAACCUGCUGCCCUGGAACUGAGACUUCCGGCGGCCACGUGAGCCACGUGAUUCUGUCUUGGACUCUUUAGGCAACAGUUCAAUACGGGAAGUUGCAUCCCAGAGCCCAUUGACUCUGAGGCUACUUAGGGCCGCAGCUUCAGUGGCAUCUCCUUUGCACCCAGGGCCGUAUCCACGCGGACCUCCAGGACACGGGUGGCCUUCCCCGGCCACUGUUUCUGCUAGACACUAGACCCUUUGGAAAGUGAUGUAGUGAACUGAAGGCGCACACACCUCCGCCCCAAGCACGUUUCUGUGUUGAAGACAGUGUGGACCCAUCCACCUCUUGCGAGAGCAAUUGGAACAGAGGGCAAUUUGUGGAGGAGGACACUAGCCGCCUCUCCGGCUCCGAGCCCCAAAGGACCCCUGGCAGCCGCGCAAAGCCGGCCGGAAGACAGCCGCACCGCCCCUCCCGGUCCAGGCCCAGCCUGCCUGGCCAAGGAUCAAAGAGACAGGGCCUUGCUUCUCAGCGCUCAGAUUCUAUCAGCGUCCUGCCAGCGAGGCUUCUGGGUCUUCCAGCUCCCGAUUGGGAUGCCCAUUUUUUUCUCCCUCCCCGGAGCUGAGGGACUUGGCCAUUAGUGCUCAGCUUGGCAAUAGAGAUGCGGUGCAGAUCCCGCCCUUGACGCCUCUCCAGUCUUCCUUCCGCAGGUGCCAGCUUGCUGCUGAUUUUGACCCCAUCCUCUCAAGACUGGGGGCAGGGCAAGGACUCCAGCAGAAAGAGACAGGAGAGGAAAGGUCCCGGGGUGAGGCCUCCCUGACCUCAGCUCCAAGGUUGUCUGGGGUGGACCACCUUUCUGAGAAAGUUGCAGAGAAAUUAACAUCAUCUUAAGCCAUCUUAAGGCACUGUGGAUCCUCCCAUGUUUAUGGGCGACUCCAGUUCAGGCAAAGUUGCUUCCAUGCUGGCUGGCAGACUAUGAGGUCCCAACUGACACAGGCCAUUGGGGAUCGAAUUUCUCUAUAUCCAAGAAGUCAAGGAAGGGGAGAUGAGAUCUCACCCCCCACCCCUGCAGGGCCAGAUCCCACACUGGAUUCCCAACAAAUGGACCUGGAAUUCAUUCAUCAGAAGGAAUGAUCUGGGUCAGAGUCAGCAAGGUACCCAAGAAUGACCCCCACUCGUUCAGCUCCCACUCGUUCUGAAUACUGGGCUUGCAGACAUACACCACCACUUUUAUGUGGUACUGGGAAUGAACCCAGGACUUCAUGCUUGCUGGGCAAGAAGUUUAUCAACUCUCCUGGAUUUCCACCAGUCCUAGUUAGGGUUUCUGUUGCUGAGAUGAAACACCAUGACUGAAGCAAGUUGAGGAGGAAAGGGUUUAUUUGGCUUACACUUCCAUAUCACAGUCUAUCACUGAAGGAAGUCAGGACAGGAACUCAAGCAGGGCAGGAUCCUAGAGACAGGAGCUAAUGCAGAGGGCAUGGGAAGGGGCUGCUCACUGGCUUGCUCGUUAUGGCUGGCUCAGCCUGAUUUGUUAUAGAACUCAAAUAUCACCAGCCUAGGGAUGGCCUCACUCACAAUGGGCUGGGCCCUCACCCGUCAAUCACUAAUUAAUUACAACAGAUCUUAUGGAGGCAUAUUCUCAAUUGAGACUCCCUCCUUUCAGACAAACCCAGCUUGUGUCAAGUUGUCAUAAAACUAACCAGCACACCCAGCAUCCAGAUUGGGUAGAUCACAACUGCCUGUAACUCCAGAUCCAUAUGGUUCAAUGCCUUUAAUCCCAGCACUCAGGAGGCAGAGGCAGGCAGAUCUCUGUAAGUUCAAGGCCAGCCUAGUCUUCACUAUUCUUUUAGUAUUUUUAUCAGGUGGGUGCUAUGCUGAAUUGGUUUUCUCCUUCCAUUUUGUUUUUGAGGCAGAAUCUGUCAUUUCUGGUGUUGUUCAUACUCCAGGAUGGCUAGUCUUGGAGGGUUUGGGGGGGGGAAGGGGUUCAAAGCAUGG